GGGGAAUAUUGCACAAUGGGCGAAAGCCUGAUGCAGCAACGCCGCGUGAGUGAUGAAGGUCUUCGGAUUGUAAAGCUCUGUCUUUUGGGACGAUAAUGACGGUACCAAAGGAGGAAGCCACGGCUAACUACGUGCCAGCAGCCGCGGUAAUACGUAGGUGGCGAGCGUUGUCCGGAUUUACUGGGCGUAAAGGGUGCGUAGGCGGAUGUUUAAGUGAGAUGUGAAAUACCCGGGCUUAACUUGGGUGCUGCAUUUCAAACUGGAUAUCUAGAGUGCAGGAGAGGAGAAUGGAAUUCCUAGUGUAGCGGUGAAAUGCGUAGAGAUUAGGAAGAACACCAGUGGCGAAGGCGAUUCUCUGGACUGUAACUGACGCUGAGGCACGAAAGCGUGGGUAGCAAACAGGAUUAGAUACCCUGGUAGUCCACGCCGUAAACGAUGAGUACUAGGUGUAGGAGGUAUCGACCCCUUCUGUGCCGCAGUAAACACAUUAAGUACCCCGCCUGGGAAGUACGAUCGCAAGAUUAAAACUCUAAAGUGAAUUGACGGGGGUCAUG
rnacentral:rRNA from 1 species